CCUUACUCAGAAGGCAAGAACUUAAAGAGCAGAGGAGCGAGUCAGAGACAUCUGGAGGAAAAGUCAGCUCACAUGCUCUAAGGCUGGAGUGCACUCACCGAGUUUAAAGAACACGAGGAAGACAAUCAUGGCUGGAGCUGAGUGAGUGACUGGACAGCAGAAGAAAACAAGGCAGAGAGGCAAUGGGAAGGUCAGCUCAGCUCCUUGAAGAUGGUGUCUAGACUAUUACCACUUCCUCCUUUUGUCUUCCUCCCACGGCAGUCUGAUUUCUCUCCAUAUCACCCCAGUGAAACCCUUUCACCCAGAAAUGUUCUUCGGAUCAUUAAAUCUGAGAACACAAUUAGGGAGUGUCCCGUAUAAUCUCACGCACAUCAGCGCCUGCACAUGGAUUAUCUUCUUUGGAUAUCAGACAACACUAGAUCCUGAAGACUAAAAGCAGUUGAAGAUGGAUAUUGUUUCAUUUCCCCAGUGCCCUAAAGGAUAUCCCUGACUAUCCCAAGGGGCCUGUAAUUUCACGAAGACAAGGAAAAGUGAACUUGGAGCCACAUGUCAUCCUCUGCUAGUCCUGCUAACUAAUUGAAAAAUAUCUGAUGGGUCUUGGCACUGGUUGGUCAUUGCUACAGACACUAGCUAAAAUGCCUGUGGAUUAUGAUGCUCAAGGUCUAUGCUCUCAGGCAAAGCAGAGCGAUUACUCCAUGAAGCUCAGCAAACUUGUCUAGUGAUGCUGGAGCAUCCUGACCUUGUCUGUGUCAAGCAUAGACUGUAGAGCAGGAGCGCACAGCCCCAAGACUGUUCAUCUGGACCCUCCGGCCUGCCUGCACUGAGCCAGCACCCUGGCACCAUGCUGCACGAAGCAGAGGGAAGAGAGCAGAAGUCUGGAUAUUCUUUGAUUCCCCCUCACUCAAUCCAGAUCAGAAUGUCUAUCAUAUCAGGUCUACUAGUAAUUAAUGUCGUUUUUUAACAUUCGCUUAAAAUCUUGCUUGGCGUUGACUUGUAUUGACAUAACCUUCAAACACGUGGU